rnacentral:rRNA from 1 species
GAUGAACGCUGGCGGCGUGCCUAAUACAUGCAAGUCGAGCGAACCACUUCGGUGGUGAGCGGCGAACGGGUGAGUAACACGUAGGUGAUCUGCCCAUCAGACGGGGACAACGAUUGGAAACGAUCGCUAAUACCGGAUGGGACGACAGGUUAAAGGUGCUUCUGGCACCGCUGAUGGAUGAGCCUGCGGCGCAUUAGCUAGUUGGUAGGGUAAAGGCCUACCAAGGCGACGAUGCGUAGCCGACCUGAGAGGGUGAACGGCCACACUGGGACUGAGACACGGCCCAGACUCCUACGGGAGGCAGCAGUAGGGAAUCUUCGGCAAUGGGCGAAAGCCUGACCGAGCAACGCCGCGUGAAUGAUGAAGGCCUUCGGGUUGUAAAAUUCUGUUAUAAGGGAAGAACGACUUUAGUAGGAAAUGGCUAGAGUGUGACGGUACCUUAUGAGAAAGCCACGGCUAACUACGUGCCAGCCGCCGCAGUAACAC